rnacentral:lncRNA from 1 species
AUGCAAAUCAUCAAGUUUGGAUUCCGCCCAUCCUUGUUGAUCGUUUGAUAUCGUUGUUUGAUCCGGAUUUUCAGGACUUACAAUUGGUAUCAGAGCCAAUUUGAUAUCAAACAUCAAGAAAUUCUGCAUUUUUGUUGAAGUUCUUCAUCACGUUCUUCGUGUUCUUCAUUGUGUUCAUCCAAAAUAUUGAAAAUUACUAUAUUUUGCUUUUUAAUCUUCUUAAAAAGUGUUAAAAUUUUCAAAACCUUUAAAACCUCAUUGUUUACUACAGUUUUGUCAUCAUCAUCUGUCAACAUCGAAAUACAUCAUCUUUAGUAUUUGUCUGAAACAACAUAAUCAUUAGAUUAUCAGCCGUCAUUAUUCAACAUCAUCCGCAAUCAAACAACUACCUUAUCCGACAUCAUCCGUGACGUCUUCAUUCAUAAUUUAUCAUUUAUCUUAUCAAUCCGGAAUCGUAUCAUCUAAUCCGAAAUCAUCCGACUUCGUCAUCUUCAUUUGAUUGUCAGACAUCCAUCCGAGACGAUCAUUACGUCAUCAUCAUUAUUCUUCUUCAACGUUUUAAUCCGUAAUCAUCCGCAAUCAACAUUGUCAUCAUCGGCGUUUCAUCAUCAUCAUCAUCCGAAAUACACAGUUAUUCAAAAUCAUCAUUCUGUCUUCAUCAUUCUCAUCUCUGAUCGUUCAUCAUCAUAACCAUCCUUUUUUUUAUCAUCAUCUUCCUCGAUCGACGUUCACCGAUUCGUUUUCUUUCAACUUUCACCGUCAUCAUCAUCGCUGUUCACGUCAUCUUCUCCGAAUCGACACCUUCAUCUCCGGUCACCAUUAACAACAUCUCCAACGUAUCUGAAACUCCGACGUCCUUCGGUCAUCUUCUCUGCAACUCCGACAACCACCUCCCACCUGCAACUCACCAUCAUCGCCAACGUCACCAGUUAUCUUCUCCGUCAGUCACCAUUUCAUCGACGACCACCGAUCUCCGUUCAACUUCUCCGUUCAACUCACCUCCAUAACCACCACCAGUCGUAUUCAUCUCCGCCGAAUAUCUUUUUCUCGUCGUUCAUCUAUCAUCAAUCUCCAUCUUCGCCGUCGACCAUCAUCGUCACCUUCAUCAUUGAUCAUCAUCACCUUCGGUCACCACUGUUUCCGUAACAAAUCUUCAUCGUUCCUCAUCAUCGUCGCCGACCUUCACACCUGUAAACCACCUCCGGCGACUAUCAUCAUCAUCGUUUAUUUCAGUUCCGGUGUUGUCGGAAAAGUUGGCGGCGGCUGAUAUCUGGGAUUAGGGUUUCGGAGGAUUCGUGUUAACGAAGAAGACAGAAACGACAUACAUUCUGUCGUUUAGUUUUAUUAAUAUUAGUUUACUAGGUUAGAAACCCGUGUAUUAUACGGGUUGUAUAAAUGUAAUUUUAUAUAAUAAAUAAUAAAAAAGAUAUAUCU